UACGAAGGGGGCUAGCGUUGCUCGGAAUCACUGGGCGUAAAGCGCACGUAGGCGGAUCUUUAAGUCAGGGGUGAAAUCCCAAGGCUCAACCUUGGAAGCUGCCUUUGAUACUGGGGAUCUCGAGUCCGGAAGAGGUGAGUGGAACUGCGAGUGUAGAGGUGAAAUUCGUAGAUAUUCGCAAGAACACCAGUGGCGAAGGCGGCUCACUGGUCCGGUACUGACGCUGAGGUGCGAAAGCGUGGGGAGCAAACAGGG
rnacentral:rRNA from 1 species